AUUGAACGCUGGCGGCAUGCUUUACACAUGCAAGUCGAACGGCAGCGCGGGCUUCGGCCUGGCGGCGAGUGGCGAACGGGUGAGUAAUGCAUCGGAACGUGCCCAGUAGUGGGGGAUAGCCCGGCGAAAGCCGGAUUAAUACCGCAUACGACCUGAUGGUGAAAGCGGGGGACCGAAAGGCCUCGCGCUAUUGGAGCGGCCGAUGUCGGAUUAGCUAGUUGGUGGGGUAAAGGCUUACCAAGGCGACGAUCCGUAGCUGGUCUGAGAGGACGACCAGCCACACUGGGACUGAGACACGGCCCAGACUCCUACGGGAGGCAGCAGUGGGGAAUUUUGGACAAUGGGGGCAACCCUGAUACAGCCAUGCCGCGUGCGGGAAGAAGGCCUUCGGGUUGUAAACCGCUUUUGUUCGGGAAGAAAUCCUAUGGGCUAAUACCCCGGGGGGAUGACGGUACCGGAAGAAUAAGCACCGGCUAACUACGUG
rnacentral:rRNA from 1 species